rnacentral:lncRNA from 1 species
CAAAAGAAUCGAAUGGCACAAUGACGUAGAUUGAGUGGCAUUUGAAAAUGUAGAGUGAAGUGACACUAGAGUUAGUGUGAGGCAAAGAAUUAAUGCGAUGUAAAGAAUGAUAUUAAUGAAUAAAGCUAAUGUAAAGUGGGGCAUAAAGAACGUGUAAAGUUAAAGAAUGUGAAAGCUAAAGAUAGCUUAAAGUAAAGGAAUGUAAAGAACGUGAUUGCUAGAGUUAGCAAAAGUAAAAGAAAUGUAAAGAACAAUGAUUGCUUGUAAUAUACCGAAAAUUCGGAAAAUAAAUAUCGAACUUUAGUCAAAUUGACCAAAGUGCGAGGAUGGUACACUUCGGAAAGUCCGAAGGUAUUAAAAUGAUUAAAAGUAAGUUACGGAAGGUUUUCGAGAGCUAAAGAAUCAAAUUCUAUAAAACUGCAGAUUUUGAGCUCUCGGGGACCGGUCCCUGGUGGAAGAGACCGGUCCCCGAACGCGUAUGAGGUGAGACAGCCAAAAAAUCGGCUAAGUCCUGAGAAACUAGCUCUUCGGAAUCGGUCCCUGCCUGAGAGACUGGUCCCCGAGAGACCGGUCCCCCAAGGAGAGACCGGUUGCACUGCGCGCAGCAGCUCUGGCUGCGCUGGGACGACCUUCGGGAACCGGUCCCUGAAGGAGAGACCGGUCCCCGGCUGCGCGAACUGCCCAGUUCGGGCAGUGUAAUGAGAUAAAAGCUGAGGGACUUAUCUGCAAAAAUGCAUUAUGUGGGUCAUGUUUAGGGCUGAGAGAG